rnacentral:rRNA from 1 species
GGAGGAAUAUUGGGCAAUGGACGCAAGUCUGACCCAGCCAUGCCGCGUGAGUGAUGAAGGCCUUAGGGUUGUAAAGCUCUUUUAAUGGUGAAGAUGAUGACUGUAACCAUAGAAUAAGCACCGGCUAACUUCGUGCCAGCAGCCGCGGUAAUACGAAGGGUGCUAGCGUUGUUCGGAUUUACUGGGCGUAAAGGGCACGCAGGCGGCCAAACAAGUCAGAGGUGAAAUCCCAGGGCUCAACCCUGGAACU